rnacentral:lncRNA from 1 species
UUCCACAGAGCAUGCAUUGGCUGAAAUCUAUGAAGAACAGCAGAACACACCCUUUCCAGUUGCCUGGCUUAGGGGUACCAUAGGACACCAGCUCUUAGCUUGUUUUAUGAGGCUUGCCCACAAUGCCUCAGUGCUGUUUUGUGUGUUCAUUUAUGCCUUGAUGUGAAAAUUCAAGAGAUUUGAAGAAACUGGUGCAGGGUUAUAAUCUCCAUAGUUUAGACAAGAUUUCUUGGGCCUAACAUGUAAAUUCCUUUAUGUUAUUAAAUGCUCACUUGAUUUUUUAAAA